CGCACAUUGCGCCCGCCAGCACUCUGGCGGGCAUGCCUGUUCGAGCGUCAUUUCAACCCUCAGGCCCUGCCUGGCGUUGGGGCUCUGCCGUGCGCGGCAGGCCCUCAAAGACAGCGGCGGGUGCGCCGUGGAACCGAACGCAGUAGCUCUAUUUCGUUCUGGAACCGCAGCGCUCUCCGGCCGUAAAACCCCCAUAUUUAUACUGGUUGACCUCGGAUCAGGUAGGAAUACCCGCUGAACUUAA
rnacentral:misc_RNA from 1 species